rnacentral:lncRNA from 1 species
GCUAUCCAAACAACAAAAGAUGGAGCAUCAGAUCAUUCAUUGAAGAGUUUCUUGCUCUUACAAGAUCUUUGCAAUGAUUUGAGAGAGGAAGUUGCUAUAUAAUGCUAUCUGGAUGAGUUCUUUGGUAGUUUGUAAUAGAACUUCAAAAAUUCAGGUUUAUUUAUGUUAGGACUAUUCAAACAUUCAUAAUCCAUCAUCCAUCUAGGAGUUUCAGUAAAUAGGCCAUAGUCUUUAAGCUGUAGAAAAUUUUAUUUCUAAGGCCUUCAAAAUAGAU